CUUUGAUACCCUUUUUCCCACCUGUGUUUGUGGGAAGUUUACUUUGUUUAGGGCACGUAGUCUUUGAGCUUCACAGUUUGUUUUUGUAGUGUUAUUUGUUUUUGUUCGGCGUCAUUUUGAUUAAUAAAAGGAAAAUGUACGCACACCACGUUGCACCUUGGUCCUCUCCUUUCAACAGCCGUGACAGGUAUGACAGCUUGGUAGUCCCAUGGUGUUUAUACUUGCUUACUAUUGUUUGUACAGAUGAACAUGGUACCUUCAGGUGUUUGGAAAUUACUCCCAAGGAUAAAAAAGACUUGUGGAGGUCUACCACUUUUUUUGGUCUUGGCUGAUUUCUUUUGAUUUUCCCAUGAUGUCAAGCAAAGAGGCACUGAGUUUGAAGGCAAACCCAGGGAAAAUUAAACAAGCACUUUCUGGUCAUUAAUCUGGAUAUGUGCGCCCGCCUUUGACGGCCAACGAUGAUGAGUGGCCAACGAUGAUGAGUGGCCAACGAUGAUGAGUGGCCAACGAUGAUGAGUGGCCAACGAUGAUGAGUGGCCA
ensembl:lncRNA